rnacentral:rRNA from 1 species
GAGCCUACGGGAGGCAGCAGUAGGGAAUCUUCCACAAUGGACGAAAGUCUGAUGGAGCAACGCCGCGUGAGUGAAGAAGGGUUUCGGCUCGUAAACCCUGUUGUUAGAGAAGAAAGUGCGUGAGAGUAACUGUUCACGUUUCGACGGUAUCUAACCAGAAAGCCACGGCUAACUACGUGCCAGCAGCCGCGGUAAUACGUAGGUGGCAAGCGUUAUCCGGAUUUAUUGGGCGUAAAGGGAACGCAGGCGGUCUUUUAAGUCUG